rnacentral:rRNA from 1 species
UAAUCGGUAACAGGUUUCCGUAGGUGAACCUGCGGAAGGAUCAUUGUCGUGACGCUGAACAAAACUGACCGUGAACAUGUUAUCCAUGCUUCCGGGUGAUGGGUCUUGCACCUGUCUCUCGUGACAGGGUGCCAAACCUCUUUGGAGUGGAGGCACCCUAAAAGAACCCACGGCGCCACAGGCGUCAAGGAACACUGAUAUGCUACCUUGCAUGGGCGUGGACCGGCUUGUCGGUUCCACCUUUUGCAAGAAUUAUCUGAUAAUCCUCAAGACUCUCGGCAACGGAUAUCUUGGCUCUCGCAUCGAUGAAGAACGUAGCAAAAUGCGAUACCUGGUGUGAAUUGCAGAAUCCCGUGAACCAUCGAGUUUUUGAACGCAAGUUGCGCCUGAGGCCUUUUGGCCGAGGGCACGUCUGCCUGGGCGUCACGCCAAAAGACACUCCACACCUUCAAUGUUGUGGAUGUGGUAUUUGGCUCCCCUUGCCUCUAGGCAUGGGGGGCCUAAGUAUGGGAUGCUGAUGAUGCCGAUCACAGCACAAGGUGGAUGGCGAAAGUUGUUCUCAGUGCUGUUUCCGUCUGCAAUUUGGUGAUACCCUUAGCACCCACAUACUGAAGCGCACAUUGCUCGGACCGCGACCCAAGGUCAGUCGGACUACCCGCUGAAUUUAGCAUAUUCAAUAAGCGAUGGCCAGACUGACAUGGGGUGGCGCCAGGACCUGAUUGGGGCGGCAAGAACAACAAU